GGCCUUAUCGUCUAGAGGUUAGGACGGCAGGUUCUCAUCCUGCAAACCGGGGUUCGAUUCCCGUAGGGUCA
rnacentral:tRNA from 1 species